UGCCAGCCGCCGCGGUAAUACUGAAGGUGCAAGCGUUAAUCGGAAUCACUGGGCGUGAAGCGCUCGUAGGUGGCUUUGUAAGUCAGAUGUGAAAUGUCCAGGCUCAACCUGGGACCUGCCUUUGAAACUACUGAACUUGAGGCCGUGAGAGGAAACUGGAAUUCCUAGUGUAGCGGUGAAAUGCAUAGAUAUUAGGAAGAACACCAGUGGCGAAGGCGAGUUUCUGGCACGGUUCUGACGCUGAUGCGCGAAAGCUAGGGGAGCGAACGGGAUUAGAUA
rnacentral:rRNA from 1 species